rnacentral:lncRNA from 1 species
CAUUCUGCACGCCAUUGUUCUGCAAUGCGCCCUGCCCCCAACACUGCCAGUGCUUGCAAACUUAGAGGAUUUAAAUUCAUCACUAGUGUUUUGAAAUCCCAGGAUGUGUUCCUGAGACAGUCUUCGUUGUUUUAUUGUCCUGGGCAUUCUGCGUCCUUUCAGUCUGGAGAUUUUUAGCUUCCUUUGCUUCUGAGUCUCUAUUUGCAGUGCCCCGAUGCUAGAAACCUGAGAUCCCAUGGCUUCUCCAGAAUGGAGGCUUGGGCAUUGUCAGCACCCUCCUUCCAAGAGUUGAAAGUUCCUCUCUUCUGGAAGACAAACUGAUGUGAGGAUGAGGAGGAGUCAGAAAUAAACUCAUUCAACUAAUACUUGAGUAGCUACUGUUGCCUACAGUAUGUUCAAGGUUUUGCUAGUCAUCCAUAUGAUCACUAUUGACAGCUUGGGAGACUCACACAGGCUAGUGAAUUUCAGGAAUUAACAGAAACUGAACAGCUUCUAUAAUCCUGCAGGAAGUAACCUCUGGAUGGCACAAUGGAGUCUCACUCUGUUGCCCAGGCUGGAGUGCAAUGGCACAAUCUCAGCUCACCACAAGCUCCGCCUCCUGCGUUCAAGUGAUUCUCCUGCCUUAGCCUUCUGAGUAGCUGGUAUUACAGGUGCCUGCUACCAUGGCCAGCUAAGUUUUGUAUUUUUAGUAGAGACAGGGUUUCACCAUGUUGGCCAGGCUGUUCUCAAACUCCUGACCUCAAGUGAUCUGCCCGCCUAAGCCUCCCAAAGUGCUGGGAUUACAAGCAUGAGCCGCCGCACCCGGCCUCUGCUAAGUUUACAACCUGCAAAUUCUAUCCAAAAUAUAUACAUAUUUUCUUGUAUUUUUCAUUUAAUGCACCAAAAUAAAAAAAAAAUUGUUUUUCA